rnacentral:rRNA from 1 species
UACAGAGGUCUCAAGCGUUGUUCGGAUUCAUUGGGCGUAAAGGGUGCGUAGGUGGCGGGGUAAGUCAGGUGUGAAAUCUCGGGGCUCAACCCCGAAACUGCACUUGAUACUGCCUUGCUCGAGUACUGGAGAGGAGAUUGGAAUUUACGGUGUAGCAGUGAAAUGCGUAGAUAUCGUAAGGAAGACCAGUGGCGAAGGCGAGUCUCUGGACAGCAACUGACGCUGAGGCACGAAGGCCAGGGGAGCAAACGGG